GCCCCCAUGAGUUCUUCACUAUCCAGUAAGGAGAGCCAUUUUCAUUUCCGUACCCGACAGCUAACACAGCAUGGUUCACCUUGUCUGUGGUUUUAUGGCAUUCAGUGCUGAAACCAAGAAGAGAAUAUGAGUGUCAAAAAGCAUAAUAACUGGCCGAGACAUGUGUUUUCAAGAACAUGAAAACUUUUCCAUGACUUCUCCUCACCUGGUGUACACGCCCUUGGAGUAAUGCAUGAAGUCAGAGGUCACCUCAAAUGCAAAACUGACAG